rnacentral:rRNA from 1 species
GACGUAGGGUCCAAGCGUUUGUCCGGAUUUACUGGGCGUAAAGAGCGCGUAGGCGGUCUGUUAAGUGUAGAGUGAAAUCUCCAGGGCUCAACCCGGAAACUGCUCUGCAUACUGGCAGACUGGAGUGAUGCAGAGGUUUGUGGAAUUCCUGGUGUAACGGUGAAAUGUGUUGAUAUCAGGAGGAACACCCAUGGCGAAGGCAGCAAACUGGGCAUUAACUGACGCUGAGGCGCGAAAGCGUGGGUAGCAAACAGG